UAUACACCUAGGCGUUGAAUUGCUGGGUUAUAGGGUGGGGGGAUGUGCUGCAUUUUAGCAGAUAUGGCCAGUUUCCUGAAGUGGUUGUACCAAUGUACACUCCCAUCGGCACAGUAUGAGACUUCUGGUUUCA